rnacentral:rRNA from 1 species
GACAUAGGUCGCAAGCGUUAUCCGGAAUUAUUGGGCGUAAAGGAUGCGUAGAUGGUUCAGUAAGUUACUGGUGGGAAAUCGAGGCCCAACCUCGUGGAAGUUAGUAAUACUGUUGAACUUGAGUGCAGGAGAGGUUAACGGAACUUCAUGUGGAGCGGUAAAAUGCGUAGAUAUAUGAAAGAACAUCAAUAUGGCGAAGGCAGUUAACUAUUCUGCUACUGACAUUGAGGCAUGAAAGCGUGGGGAGCAAAACGG